AUUGAACGCUGGCGGAAUGCUUUACACAUGCAAGUCGAACGGCAGCACGGGGCAACCUGGUGGCGAGUGGCGAACGGGUGAGUAAUACAUCGGAACGUGCCCAAUCGUGGGGGAUAACGUAGCGAAAGUUACGCUAAUACCGCAUACGAUCUACGGAUGAAAGCGGGGGAUCGCAAGACCUCGCGCGAAUGGAGCGGCCGAUGUCAGAUUAGGUAGUUGGUGGGGUAAAGGCUCACCAAGCCAACGAUCUGUAGCUGGUCUGAGAGGACGACCAGCCACACUGGAACUGAGACACGGUCCAGACUCCUACGGGAGGCAGCAGUGGGGAAUUUUGGGACAAUGGGCGCAAGCCUGAUCCAGCCAUUCCGCGUGCAGGAUGAAGGCCUC
rnacentral:rRNA from 1 species